AACGAACGCUGGCGGCAUGCCUAACACAUGCAAGUCGAACGAGACCUUCGGGUCUAGUGGCGCACGGGGGCGUAACGCGUGGGAACCUUCCCUUAGGUUCGGAAUCACUCCCCGAAAGGGGUGCUAAUACCGGCUAAUGUCUUCGGACCAAAGAUUUAUCGCCUUUGGGUGGGCCCUCGUUGGAUUAGCUAGUUGGUAGGGUAAAAGCCUACCAAGGCGAUGAUCCGUAGCUGGUCUGGGAGGAUGAUCAGCAACACUGGGACUGCGACACGGCCCAGACUCCGACGGGAGGCAGCAGUGGGGAAUAUGGGACGAGGGCGAAAGCCUGAUCCAGCAAUGCCGCGUGAGUGAUGAAGGCCUUAGGGGUGUAAAGCUCUUUUACCCGGGAUGAUAAUGACAGUACCGGGAGAAUAAGCACCGGCUAACUCCGUG
rnacentral:rRNA from 1 species